rnacentral:rRNA from 1 species
UACAGAGGUCCCAAGCGUUGUUCGGAUUCACUGGGCGUAAAGGGUGCGUAGGCGGUCGGGUAAGUCCGAUGUGAAAUCUCACAGCUUAACUGUGAAACUGCAUUGGAUACUAUCCGGCUCGAGGAAUGGAGGGGAGACUGGAAUACUUGGUGUAGCAGUGAAAUGCGUAGAUAUCAAGUGGAACACCAGUGGCGAAGGCGAGUCUCUGGACAUUUCCUGACGCUGAGGCACGAAAGCCAGGGGAGCAAACGGG